UUCAUAUGAUGCUACAUAAAUAUAUUUGCUACUUCAGAGGGCUACGACCCGAUGAGACCAAUUUUCCACCAAGAUCUCUGAUGAU
rfam:Coniophora puteana RWD-64-598 SS2 unplaced genomic scaffold CONPTscaffold_3, whole genome shotgun sequence.